GAUGAACGCUGGCGGCGUGCCUAAUACAUGCAAGUCGAGCGAACGGACGAGAAGCUUGCUUCUCUGAUGUUAGCGGCGGACGGGUGAGUAACACGUGGAUAACCUACCUAUAAGACUGGGAUAACUUCGGGAAACCGGAGCUAAUACCGGAUAAUAUUUUGAACCGCAUGGUUCAAAAGUGAAAGACGGUCUUGCUGUCACUUAUAGAUGGAUCCGCGCUGCAUUAGCUAGUUGGUAAGGUAACGGCUUACCAAGGCAACGAUGCAUAGCCGACCUGAGAGGGUGAUCGGCCACACUGGAACUUAGACACGGUCCAGACUCCUACGGGAGGCAGCAGUAGGGAAUCUUCCGCAAUGGGCGAAAGCCUGACGGAGCAACGCCGCGUGAGUUAUGAAGGUCUUCGGAUCGUAAAACUCUGUUAUUAGGGAAGAACAUAUGUGUAAGUAACUGUGCACAUCUUGACGGUACCUAAUCAGAAAGCCACGGCUAACUACGUG
rnacentral:rRNA from 1 species